rnacentral:rRNA from 1 species
UACGUAGGGGGCAAGCGUUGUCCGGAAUUAUUGGGCGUAAAGAGCGCGUAGGCGGUCCGAUAAGUCGGCUGUGAAAGUCAGGGGCUCAACCCUUGAAAGCCGGCCGAUACUGUCGGACUAGAGUCCGGAAGAGGCGAGUGGAAUUCCCGGUGUAGCGGUGAAAUGCGCAGAUAUCGGGAGGAACACCAAUGGCGAAGGCAGCUUGCUGGGACGGUACUGACGCUGAGGCGCGAAGCGUGGGAGCAACAGGGAUAAGAACCCUGGGUAGUC